AGUGAACGCUGGCGGUAGGCCUAACACAUGCAAGUCGAACGGCAGCACAGUAAGAGCCUGCUCUUACGGGUGGCGAGUGGCGGACGGGUGAGGAAUACAUCGGAAUCUACUUUUUCGUGGGGGAUAACGUAGGGAAACUUACGCUAAUACCGCAUACGACCUACGGGUGAAAGCAGGGGAUCUUCGGACCUUGCGCGAUUGAAUGAGCCGAUGUCGGAUUAGCUAGUUGGCGGGGUAAAGGCCCACCAAGGCGACGAUCCGUAGCUGGUCUGAGAGGAUGAUCAGCCACACUGGAACUGAGACGCGGUCCAGACUCCUACGGGAGGCAGCAGUGGGGAAUAUUGGACAAAGGGCGCAAGCCUGAUCCAGCCAUACCGCGUGGGUGAAGAAGGUCUUCGGGUUGUAAAGCCCUUUUGUUGGGAAAGAAAAGCAGCAGGUUAAUACCCCGCUGUUCUGACGGUACCCAAAGAAUAAGCACCGGCUAACUUCGUG
rnacentral:rRNA from 1 species